AGUGAACGCUGGCGGCGUGCUUAACACAUGCAAGUCGAACGAGAACGGGAUAUAGCUUGCUAUAUUUGUCAGCUAAGUGGCGCACGGGUGAGUAAUGUAUAGGUAAUAUGCCUCUUACUAAGGGAUAACAAAUGGAAACGUUUGCUAAUACCUUAUACUCCUUAUUAACAGAAGUUAAUAAGGGAAAGAUUUAUUGGUAAGAGAUUAGCCUGUAUUGUAUCAGUUAGUUGGUGGGGUAAUGGCUUACCAAGACUAUGACACAUAACUGGUUUGAGAGGAUGAUCAGUCACACUGGAACUGAGACACGGUCCAGACUCCUACGGGAGGCAGCAGUGGGGAAUAUUGCACAAUGGACGAAAGUCUGAUGCAGCAACGCCGCGUGGAGGAUGACACAUUUCGGUGCGUAAACUCCUUUUAUAUGAGAAGAUAAUGACGGUAUUAUAUGAAUAAGCACCGGCUAACUCCGUGCCAGCCGCCGCAGUAA
rnacentral:rRNA from 1 species